AAUGGUAGGUGUAACUGGCGAAGCGUGGAGCACCACGGGGGAGCACCUAUUUUCAUAAGCCGUUCGCCUGGGCAAAGUAU
rnacentral:ncRNA from 2 species